rnacentral:lncRNA from 1 species
CACCAUUUAUGGGUCCUCGCAGUAUUGUCGACUUGAAGAUGCCUAAACAUGAGCUAAUUGUGUAAUGUUGAUCAUAUCAGCAAAGAGAAUCAACCUCUCUUUUAUAAAUAUUAGAAAAUUAGAUGUUUUCAGUGAAAACACAUUUUCCACUUAAUAUUUUAAACAAACGUUUUUAAAUACUACAUAAUAAUAUUUAUGCAGGCAAUAUUUAGCCACCUAGUGGUUAAGAGCGUUGGUCCCAUAGAGAAUGAUAAAGGCCUCUAGUGGCCAAAAGGCUAUUUUUGCAUGGGCAAUACCACUGCCGGCUGCCAUUAUUUUAAUCAAGUCAACUGGGUGGGACAUCCAACUUCAUUGGCUAAUCCCUCCUGGUAGCCUUGUUGGAGUCAUGUGCAACUGGGUCAUCAGGAGGAAUCAGCCAAUCGUGAAGAAGAAAAUAUACUACUUCAAAAUGGAGUUAGCCUUAAUGGCGCUGCUCAUGCUGUUACAGACGCCAUAAUGGCACGGAUACAAUGAUGAGGCCUCUUUCCAUCUCUAUGGUUGGGACAGUUACUGAAAGGUCACUGGUUUAUGUGAAAAAUCUGUCGAUGUGCCCUUGAGUAAGGCACUUUAUCCUAUUUGCGCCUGUAAGUCGCUCUGGAUAAGAGAAUCUGCUAAAUUACUUCCGUUUUUAUUUAGACAACAUUUGUUUGCAACUUUGCCAGGACGAGAAAUUGUGUUCCUGCGUUUGCACAAUGUCAUGUUGAAGUGGUAAGGAGAAGCUAUGAAAAAAAGUUAAAUAUUAUAAAAACAUUUGUGGAAGCAUGCAUGUCAAAUAUGGUUAAUUGGCCUACUCAACAAUGUCAACAGACUACACACUGUGGAAACCAAAAAAAGAGUGGAAUCCAGAACCAGUUUUCUGUCUACUACUAUCCAGUCUGGCCAAAAUGGACAAGUACUGAACACAAAAUGUGGUGUAAAGAGAAGAGGUGUAGCUAUACAGAAGAUACUGUAUAUAGAGCUGCAUUGUGGUCAGCCAUCAUUGGACAGGAACGUAGAAGGUUCAAGGCCUGGAAGGUGAUGAGGAGCAGCGUCAUGGCCUGUCUGUGCAGCACAACAGUUGGACAGUAAUACUCUUGGGACACGGGCUAGAAAGAUAAGGUUCGGUGGUGGCAUGAACUGCAGAUGAUGCAGACCAGAUACUGACAGAGGAUUAGUGUGGAAUGAAUGACGAGGCAUCUGCUAUAGCCUGAACUUGGCCGAGGAUGAGUGAAGAGGAGAAGGAGUCACUUGAAGUGGACGACUCCCUCAUUCUUUUUGGAUCAGAUUCAAGAUUACAGACUCACAGAAUUGUUUCGAUUAUUUCAAUAUUCUUUUUGGGUGCAAAGCACAAUUUAUGUCUUCAAAGCAUUAUAUAUGAUCACAUAAUAAUGCAUUAGCCUAUACAGUACCUGUUGGCCUUAUUUUAAGUGUUACCAAAUAAUCUAUUCAGUUAGGCCUGAAGCUAACAAUAUGUGAAAAAAGCAGAGUAUGUACUAAAUCAGAGAUGGGCAGCUCCAGUCCUCGGGGGCUUGACUGGUGUCACACUUUUACCCCAGCCCCAGCUAACACAUCUGACUCCAAUAAUCAACUAAUCAUGAUCUUUAGUUUAGAAUGUAAUUAGUUUCAUCAGCUGUUUUGAUUAGGUAUGUGUAAAAAGUGUGACACCAUUCCCGCCCCCGAGGACUGAAGUUGCCCAUACCUGUGCUAAAUGCAAACUUUAUUUUUAAUCAGAAAAAUGUCACCUAGGAACACUUUGCAUCAAGUGGAGUUGUGGUUAGUUACAAUGUGGUUGGGAACAAAAGGUGCAGCAGUACAAUGAAGAAGUUGGGCUUAAGUGGCCAGUGAUAGCUGAGCCUCUAUCAGUCAUAAUAGUCCCAAAUCCCUGCGCCCCACAGUAUACAUCACUUCUUAUGAGAACCAGGAACUAAAGCCACGUUGGCCCAUUUUUAAAGGCUGUGAGAAAUGGGAGCUUCUUUCAAAACCGUCCAUUUCAGAUGUCUUGGGUGGGACACACUGACGUGUUCUCUCUAUUGAUGGAGAAGCUUAUCUAGAUCUAUCUUCCCUGUGGGGCAAGCUGCCAACAGUUUUCUAAAGCCAUGAAAAUAUACUUUACUGAAUAGCAAGCAACCUCAGUGUGUGAAGAAAAUCAAAGUUGUGACAAUGCAUUUCAAGUUGGCCUCAAUAAAUGGACUAUCAUGAACAAAUGUCUUUUGUUUAAACAAACAAUGACCAAAUUUAAAGCCACAAGUACAUAAAAAUCUAAAAUCUUUGUAAACAAGAGGUGUGGACUAACAGUGAAAUGCUUACUUACGGGCCCUUCCCAACAAUGCAGAGACAAAGAAAGUACAGGGCCUUGGUCCAGUAACAUCUGUUUGGUUUGGUCUUGUUCUAGGCUGUGAUGAGUCAGGUUAUGACUGAUUAAACUUGAUAUAGCGAAUCCCAGACUUCAUUUAUGGAAUACCUAUGUUGCCCAAUGCAGCUGUGGCUACUCAAAUAGUUCCUAUGGGUGUAGGGAAAAGGGGGGCUGUUCUGGACUUGCCAGACUCUAGCAGUCACAUCAGUCUGGCCAUUAUCAAUGUAUGUGUGUGUGAGAGAGAGAGAAAGAGAAGGGGUUUUAGUGGUUUCAUCUGUGCAAUGUCAGCCCUUACGCCAGAGGAGUCUGGUGGGAGGAGCUAUAGGAGGACGUGCUCAUUGUAAUGACUGGAAUGGAGUCAAACAUGUGGUUUCCAUAUCUUUGAUGUGUUUACCGUUCCAUUUAUUCCAUUCCAGCCAUUACAAUGAGCCCAUCCUCCUCUGCUCCUCCCACCAGCCUCCUCUGCCGUACACCCCUCUGGGUCACCAAUGCGUUUGUCACGAGACGACUAUCACACUACACACACCCACACGUACACACUUUGACACUCCCCAAUUCACCAAAUAGCCCCAAUCUCUCACUCUCUCUCUCACACACACACACACACACACACACACACACACACACACACACACAACCGACUUAGAAAUCAAGGAAUGUCUUGGGUUCAUCAUGUCUUGGUACUUUGUAAUUUUUUGUAAUUUUUAUUAGGAUCCCCAUUAGCUAAUGCCAUAACGCUAGCUAAUCUUCCUGAGGUCCAACACCAAUUAACAAGACAUUACAAACAACCACAAUCAAGACUUCAAACAUUCAACAAGUAGACAGUACAGAUAAUUAAAAUACUGACAGGAAACACAUUUAACAUUCAGUUGAUACUUUCUAUUUGCUGUCCAGUCAUAUGGUCUAUUACAUUAGAUGUUCUUAUAUUUUGUUCUUGAAGGUGCCUGAGAAAUAUGGAUUGGUAAAAAAUUCCAUUCAGCUAUAGCUCUAUAUAAAGUUGUUUUCGCUGCCCUGAAUUUGCCUGUCUGGUUUGGUGGUUAUGCGUGUUGCUAUUAUGUACUAAUUGGACUGAAAAAUACUGUGUUUUUAAAAAAAAUAUAUAACAUUCCUAAAGAAAAUCAGACGACUAGAUAGUAAUUUGUUAUUAACGUGAAGCCAUGAGAGAUUCUGAUGCAUUUUAAUAAUAUUCAUUCGGUUAGAGCAAUGAAGAGAUAAUCUGGCAGUCCUGUUUUGAGCCAUUUGGAGCUUUUUUAUAUCUUUCUUUGCUGCAGAUGGCCAUAUAACUGGACAGUACUCUAAGUGUGAUAGGACCAGGGAUUGACCAUAUAACCGGACAGUACUCUAAGUGUGAUAGGACCAGGGAUUGAAUCACCAGAUUCAGAGUGCUAGAUGUUACAUACGCUGAACAUUUUCUUGUAACAGCAAUUCCCUUACCCAUCUUAAUAACAAUAUUAUCUAUGUGUUCUGACCAUGAUAAAGCUGCGUUCUACAUGA